rnacentral:rRNA from 1 species
AGGAACCUGCCUUGGAGAGGGGAAUAACACAGUGAAAAUUGUGCUAAUACCGCAUGAAGCAGUUGAGUCGCAUGGCUCUGACUGCCAAAGAUUUAUCGCUCUGAGAUGGCCUCGCGUCUGAUUAGCUAGUUGGUGGGGCAACGGCCCACCAAGGCGACGAUCAGUAGCCGGACUGAGAGGUUGACCGGCCACAUUGGGACUGAGACACGGCCCAGACUCCUACGGGAGGCAGCAG